rnacentral:rRNA from 1 species
AUUAACAAUAAGUAAAUAACAUUAAUAUUCACGAAGGGGGCUGAGCUAAAAAUUCGCGAGCGUUAUAGCGCAUACACUUAUGUGUGGCAAUACAUACUAAUUAGUUGUUUUUAGGGGUGAUAGGCCUAUCAAAGUCCCCGAUAUCUUGAUGUGCAAGAAAUAUAUUAAGUAUUUCCUCAACUAAAAAGCGAUAAGGUUUUUUAGAAGUAUAAUUUAAGGUGUUGUAAGUAUAAGGAGCUUAACGGCUUGUGUACAAUAUAUAUUACUAUACAUUUUGGGUUUAUAUAUCAAUUAUUGUACUCUAUUAGUUACCUAUAAUUAAUAAUUACAAUGUUAUUAUUAGUAUUUUAAUAAAUUUAGUUAAGGAACUCGGCAAGCUUGCCUACUCAACUGUUUAUCAAAAACAUUUCUCUUUGUUCUUAUAAAGGGUUUUCCCUGCUCAAUGGUAAGCUAAAUAGCCGCAGUACCUUGACUGUGCAAAGGUAGCAUAAUCAUUUGGCUUAUAAUUGAAGUCUGGUAUGAAGGGGAGAAUGGGUAGGCACUGUCUCGCUAAAAUUAAUAAAAUUUACUCAAUAAGUGAAAAUUCUUAUAAUAAUAUAAAAGACGAGAAGACCCUAGAAAUUUUUUAUAUUAUAUAGUUAAUAUGAUUAUUUUGUUGGGGCGACAGGGUAACAAAUAACUUACCUAAGGAAUGUGACCUAAAUGAAAUAGCAAAUUAAAUUACUCUAGGGAUAACAGCACAAUACAAAAGAGUUUGUGACCUCGAUGUUGGACUAGGACAAUUACCAUCUAAAAGACCGUUAAUGCAGCUCUGUUCGAGCCAUAACUCCUACAUGAUCUGAGUUCAGACCGG